CCUGCUAAGGUGGGGAAUCUGAGUCGUACAGUUUAGAUGCCAAUGAGGGCAGGAAUACUCGAUGCUGCAAGUAAGUUGAAGGAAGCCUGACGCCUGACUUAGAUGUAGAGAUCAUGGAGGGGCUUUCAAAUGGGGGUCACGAGGGCCAGAACUAGGUGUAGGCAGAAGAGGCACCUACCUAGAGCACAUCAAUACGGGGGCGCUGAGCAGGCCUGCCACAGCUACAGGGGUCAUGACUGAAGAAGAAAAAAAGGCUUGGUUGCUACACACCUGAACAUUCAGUGAUGUAUUUAAUUGUAGGUAUAUGCAGCAUCCAAUAUUCCUACUAUUACAGAGCUAUAAAUCUAUAUCUACCUAAUGGCUUGGUUUGUAGAUAGGGUUUGCCACCAUUUCAAAAAAAAUUACCGGCCAGUGGUUGGGGCUGGAACAAAAGAGUGGGAUUUCAUAAAGUUUUGUUUUUAGACAUUUAUAUACGCAUUUACGCUGGACAACCAAUAUGGAAUGCAGGUAGUACAAUUAUCAGGGAUCCUAAAAAUAAAAUUGAUUUAUAGUUUAGUUUAUCAGAGGGGGCCCCAGGUUUAUACUGGGCAGUAGCUGGAAAGGUGUGUUCAAAAUUGUGAUCCCACAUGCAUUAUCCUGAACCAGGCAGGCCUGGACCCUUUCUGGUCUAGUUAGGUGUAUUGUAGUUUGUAUUGUAAUUAACUAUAUACUGCAGGGCUCUAUUUUCUUAAUUCUUUUUUUUUGGUUAUGUUGUCUGCUUCUCUGUCUUUAAAGUAAAGAACCACUGGAGCCAUUUACAAUGGAAAGAUUCUGUGUGAAAGAUGAAAGAAGCUGGACUCCAGAAAUCCUAAACGUUGAUACCAGGACAGCACAGAAAAUUGACAAUGGUAUUUUCUGGAUAACAUGGGAAGAUCUAUGAGUGGGAUCUACUUGAGUGGAAAACAAAGUCUAUUGAAGAAUCCACCUGCAUACAUAGGUAUGUAACAGAUAUAGUAAUAUUCAUGAUACAGAAAUUAAAAAUGAGAGAAUUCAAGCUAGACAAAAUAAUUAUACUCUGUGUCAGACUGGCCCUGUGGAACACUGGGAAAAAUCCAGUAGGCCCCACAGGCCCAGGGCCUGCUCCUGGACCCAGUCUCACUCCCCAGACUGUCAAGUGGAAAGGUAGAAAAGGGUAUGGGGGGAUGGGGAAGGUGGACUAGGGCCCUUGAAAGCACAACCCUGGUUCGCCCCUGGACAUCCCAGUAUGGCCCUGAAUAUCCUAUAUACAAAGUACUUUGUGUGUAUCCAGAGAUACAGUAGCCUCAUAACACAUAAACACAUAAAACAGGAAUGUACUAAAUGCAAUCUAAAAUGUAGUUAUUUUUCUGUGUGAGUGAAUAGCUUGGUUGUUAACAUGUUAUUUUAAUACUGUAAGUGUAAUUAGGCUGGAACGUUCGCUGCAUUGGAAGGUUUGAUCUGCCUGGUUAGUGCAUUUAUACUACUAGUUAAUAUUUUCAUUUGGGGUCCGCACAUGCCACCUGCUUUGGUAUAUCUAUGCAUAUUGGGCAUUAAACUUUUCAGUAGACCCUUGGAGUCAAUAUUUAGAGUGUUUUCCAAUUGUAUGUAAGAAAUGAUGUGGGAUAAAUGUGGCAAAUUGUAAUUUUUUUAGGUGAUCUUCAGAAAUGUCAUAAA